UGGCUGCUGUGAGUUUGUGAUGGAUGUCCCAUGCCUCAUGGCCGUGGUGUAUUCUGUGUGGUGGACACCUUUAUCGCUGAUUCAUAGCCUCAUGGAAGAACAUCCAGCGACUGACAGGAAGCGGGAACACGCGGAAAGAUUAAGGAAAGCAGAGGUGUAAUGAAUAAUUGUGAAAUCUGGGAAUGGAGAGAGAAUACAAUGGUAGAUGUAUCACUUCAACCCUCCGUGAGACGAGGAACUGCCGUCAGAGAAAAAAACAUCCCGAGGAAGGCCGAGACAGAACACGGGCGAGGACUGUUCCGCCUCCUGCCGCCCAUCACCGGACAGGGCACGCCACAGCCGGGCCUCUGUCUACCCUUCAUGCCCCCUGAUUACCCUCAUUAGUCGGCUGCGAGGACUCAUUCCUCCCCUGAGUCACAAGAAUGCUGAGGCUCCAAACUUAGACGUCGUGUGGUUAUAAAACGUGUGAAAGCUUCAAUUCCAUGUUCUCAGCAGUCUGGAGCGAAUCUUCCCGGAAAGUUACUGCGUCAAUGUAAAUGUUUGUCUAAAAACCGACGACUACUACCGCCACUGCUACUUGUGUGGAAAAAGAUGAAUAAUUGUAAUAAUGAAGACGCUACAGUUGCCUAAAAAGUGGUGAUUCUAGUCAAAAUACUUAUAUUAGACGGUAGCGGCGUUACCUACGAAACUUGUUUUAAAAAGUGCCGUCGCUUCCUCUUCCGCUUUGAUAAAUGUAUGUGUUAAGGAUACAUGUUCGGGUGUCUGAAAGGAUCUGUGAAGCAAUAGGCGUUAUUUACCAUACGUCAAAAGAGAAAUUUUCGUCUGUGGAGUUUUAGCUUCUAUGAAAAAUUUUAAUAUACCGAAUGUAACUAUCUAAACAAUACAGUUGAUAAAUACAGUUAUGUGAACUUCAAUGCUUUACAAAUAUUUCCAAGCUGAUUGAAAGUGAGGACAGAUUUCAACAGUAUUAUUACCUUUAUUACUACUUUAUUUAAGUUAAUGUAAGGUAAUGGUGGCUCAACUUGCAUGACGUAACAUUCAGAGUCAGCAGCAGUGAGUAAUAUGUGGAAGAUCUUCAAGUAUGUUGUAGAAGAAAUGUGUUGACGGAAAUGUGUGCGUGUCAGUGUUCGAGUUAGGCAAGAAAAGAGUUCCAAUUUAAGAA